CUGUCUGUGUUUAAAAUGGCGCAUGGCGCACCAAGGCGAGACGUGCCGAGCCUUGCGCCUCGCGCCAUGGCGCAAUAUGGCGCUCGCCUUGAAGAAAAUUUUAGUUACGUCAUUUUAGUUACGUCUUGUUUUGUUUUGUAUUGGAGAAGAAACUUAGAGAACACUUAUGCAAUGAUUGAUAUACUAAAUUUAAAUAAGAUGCAAGCUUUAUUAUACUAGAGAGUUCUAACCUUAAGCAAAAAACCUUGAGAUCUAGAUCUAUGUUUUACGUAACUUCUCUUUUAUAAAGCUAGGGUUUGGCGUUUAAGUUUCCCCGGUUAAGUUUUUUUAAAGUCUAAGGUUUAAUUUUUUUUUUUUUUGAGCAAAAAAGUCUAAGGUUUAAUUAUUAAUUAAGGCUUAUAUGGUUUAGAUACGGUUUACAUUAAUCUCGCCUUACGCUCGCCUUUGCCAUGCUCGCCUUCUCGACAAGGCACCCAUGGCGCGCGCCUUAGGGAACCCACCCUCGCCUAGGUGGUACAUGGCGACAGAGCCAUCGCCUGAGUGCGCCUUGCGCCAUGGCGCAAAAGGCGAGCGCCAUUUUAAACACAGCUCAGGUCAGAGUUUCAUAUAUCUAAAGUUUGUGAAUAAAAGAUAAGAUCUUGGUAAGACAAAAAGACAAUGAUAGAAGAAAAUGAAAACAUACAGGUUCUUUGCAAUUUUCUGAAAGUUGAUUCCGUAACAGUUGCCACGCGCAUAAUCAUUAAAUGCAAGGGAGUGUUUUACCGGCUAUCUCCGCAGUGUGUCAGACCCAAAACCUUUUCCAGCCUAAACCCUAGAUAUCAAUAUUUUAUUCUAAUAGGCGUAGUUUCGUCAUUAAUGAAAAUUGAAAAGGAUCAUCGCCAUUUCCCUAAUAAAAUAAGUUUACGUAGCCAUACAAUGCAAAAAUCCUUUUUCUUAAUACUUAAAGAAUAACGACAAAGGAUCGGUUUUCUUUUCCAACAAUUGUCCGGUUAUUAUAUAUAUCCACCAAUAUUGAUACCUUGAAGAUUCUCUUCCGUUUUAGUUCCAACUAGAAAAGAAAACUUUUUUUUUGUCAACCAAAGAAAACUAAUUAAUUUAGAAUAUAGUUGGAAAUUAUAAAUUUCUAUCUACAAAAAAAAAAAAGAAAUUCAUAAUUAAAAGAAAUAUACAAAUGCAAAAUUACAUGUUAUGGUGCCGUUUCCUAAGCAUGGUAGCUGUGUCAUCCCUUCUAUAUGUUUUUCAUUUUUUCUUGUAUAUGUAGGUUACUUUUGUGAUGUUGUAGUUAGUUGAAUGUUUUCAAAAAAAAAGAAAGAAAACUCAUGUGAUUUUUUCUAAUUUGUAACAGAAAAAUUCAUGUGAUUAUUCUUUGAUUUCUAGUACAAUACAAUUAGGACUAAGCAAAGUAUUUGUAAAUUUUGAUUUGAUUAUAUAAUGUAAUUAUUAUGAUUUUUGUAAUUUUUAUAAUAUAAAUUUAUUAAAAUAAUUAUAUAUAUAAAUUAUACGUAUUGUAAUUUAUGUAAGUUAUAAUAUUUUAUUUAUUAAAUAUAUUAUUUUAGUUAUUAAAGCUUUUAAAGUAAAUACUUGUUUUGAAAUAAAUAUUAUUAUUGUAUAUAAUUUUUGGAUUUUUAUUUAUCAUUAUUUUUAAAGUAUUGUAUUUCUACGGAUCGAAUCGGAUAUCUAGAUAAAAAUAUAAUUUUUUGAUAUUUAUUUAUUUAUAUCUAUAAUAAUAAAGUCAACUUACUUUUCGUGGCCGCGGUCAUUACACAAGUUUCAAAUCCGUAAUGCAAUGGGCGAUGGAGCACUGGGCCUUUGUUAUCUCAUUGGGCCUUUACUUUCUUACCAGUGUGGCCCACCUGGGUUUUAGGGUUAUGUUGAUGCUCAAGCUCUUCCCGUGCGUCGCUGUGGCCCUUGCGUUCACCAUGGUUCCCGAUCAAAUCUUCUUUAACGUUUUCUAUCUGAUUCAUGCUUUGGGGUUUUGUCUUUCAAAACCUUUUUUUUUUCGGUUUCACAUCUUGAGCUCCAGAGUCUGCAACCGUGACUCCUCACAUCUCACUGCCUCCGGCGGUCUUCUUUGUAACGCACCAGUAAUAGUCACCCGGAAACAUUAAUUUCUUUGUAACGCAUCGAAUUAACUCUCCAUAUCAUCCUCCAAUGUAACCGAUUGAAACUCCACCUAUAAAUGGCUUCUUGCUUGGGAUGAAGAGUCACACCGAAAGGAAAUCCCAAAGAUCUCUCUUUAUUAAGCAGCAAAUCCAUCAAUGUAGAAUUCGUUUACUCUGCUUGGUGAGGUCAGUGCUAUCAAUAGCACAAUCAAUGAUAGGACACACUGAACACAGCGUGUUAUGCUACGUCUAGAAAGGUACUCACUUUAGUUGGAACUCCAGUGUUUGGCAUCUCUUACAACUUUGUAUGUUAUCUUAUGUCAUUGAUACUUUGCAGGGAGGUGAAUGUGUGUGUCAGUCUGUUGGCGUAGCUUUUUCGCAUCACAUAACAAACUCGAAAGCUACGGCUCUGAGCCGAAAGUUUUCUUGGUCAAUAGCAUCAGUGCCUAAGUUUUUGGAGGUGAGGAAACUGAGUAUUUAUAAUCUUUCUUGCGUUUAGUCAAAACUUCAAACACAUUAUUUGUAACAGAUUGUGUUUACAAGCAACCAUAUCAUUCCAUAAACUAACUUCCUGUUAUGCAGGCCGCCUAUUUCUCGACGGAACAUCUGGAACCCACAUCUACUUUGACUCUGAGACAGCUGCCGGAAAAGAACUCUCUGAAAAGUAAGAAUCUCUAAUACUAUAAUUAGAUAGCUAACCACCCUCUCUGUACAUAAAAAAUCUUGGCAAUUGAUAUAAUCUUGCGUUUUUGUGCUGUUACAUUAAAAUCUCUUUAGGUUGUUUAGGGAUGAUACCAACCAGCCUUUUCACCCAAGCUGCUUCAUGCCCAGAAAAUAUAACCUCUCACCGUAACUGAGCUUAACCAAUAUGGUCUCACAUCUGACCCUCAGGUCCUGUGUUUAAAAUGGCGCAUGGCGCACCAAGGCGAGACGGUCCGAGCCUUGCGCCUUACGCCAUGGCGCAAUAAGGCGCUCGCCUUGAAGAAGCUAUUUAUCUGUGACAAAGUAACACAUGAAUCUAUUAGAAGAAUAAGCACAAACGAGAUUGGAAAGAGUAGAGACUAGAGAGUUCUAACCUUAAGCAAAA
rnacentral:lncRNA from 1 species